GACGAACGCUGGCGGCGUGCCUAAUACAUGCAAGUCGAGCGGACUUUCAAGAAGCUUGCUUUUUGAAAGUUAGCGGCGGACGGGUGAGUAACACGUGGGCAACCUGCCUGCAAGACGGGGAUAACUCCGGGAAACCGGGGCUAAUACCGGAUAAUAUCUUCCUUCGCAUGAAGGAAGGUUGAAAGGCGGCGCAAGCUGCCGCUUGCAGAUGGGCCCGCGGCGCAUUAGCUCGUUGGUGAGGUAACGGCUCACCAAGGCGACGAUGCGUAGCCGACCUGAGAAGGUGAUCGGCCACACUGGGACUGAGAAAAGGCCCAGACUCCUACGGGAAGCAGCAGUAGGGAAUCUUCCGCAAAGGACGAAAGGCUGACGGAGCAACGCCGCGGGAGCGAAGAAGGUCUUCGGAUCGUAAAGCUCUGUUGUCAGGGAAGAACAAGUACCGUUCGAACAGGGCGGUACCUUGACGGUACCUGAACAGAAAGCCACGGCUAACUACGUG
rnacentral:rRNA from 1 species